rnacentral:tRNA from 1 species
UGGGGUGUAGCCAAGUGGUAAGGCAGCGGGCUUUGACUCCGUCACGCGUAGGUUCGAAUCCUCCCUCCCCAGA